rnacentral:rRNA from 1 species
UACGGAGGGUGCAAGCGUUAUCCGGAUUCACUGGGUUUAAAGGGUGCGUAGGUGGGCAAGUAAGUCAGUGGUGAAAUCUCCGGGCUUAACCCGGAAACUGCCAUUGAUACUAUUUGUCUUGAAUACUGUGGAGGUCAGCGGAAUAUGUCAUGUAGCGGUGAAAUGCUUAGAUAUGACAUAGAACACCAAUUGCGAAGGCAGCUGGCUACGCGAAUAUUGACACUCAGGCACGAAAGCGUGGGGAUCAAACAGG